UUGAGACAUACUCUCCUUGUCCUUUAAUUGUUUAUAAUUUAAUUUUCUUCUGCUUGAAAUUUUGUCCAUUAUAAGCUAUUUUCAUAUUUGUGAGAAAAUGAAAUCACAGAAUUUCAAAAUUUUGGGGACGAAGAUAUACAACCUUCCACCAAAUCCAGUUUUCUGGCAAUGGAAAUCAGAGAAACACUGUUCCUGAAAGCUUCUGUCACUCAAGAAUCCAUGAAACAUUCAUGAACUUCACAUCAGAAGCCAAGCCCAGAAAAUAUGGGUUUAAGGUUUGCCUAUAUGUCCAAUACAAGAGAAAAAAGAACAUUCCACUUCUUUAGAAGGUUCUACUUUGAUCUCCUGAUUCCAGUUGUGAAAAAAAAUUGUGCCUAAAGAAUAUAGUCCCUUUAUAGAAUUGUUUUGAAACCUACCACAGGUAUUUCUACACAGAUUUCUGUAUUUGUCUUCUUAACUCUUGAGUUUUGUUGUUGCUAAUAUUGGAUGAAGAGGAGACAAAAUGAUUGGAUCUAGAGGAGCACCGACAAGCAAAUGGCAGAGUCCUCAGAAGGGAAGAUAGUGUUAAUGUAGAAUUGAUAACACAGAAUGCACCACUGCUGUGAUCCUUAUAUCUUGGCUGGCCAUUACCCCUCCACUUGGAAAUGAAAAAGAUAAACUAAUUGAAGCAGUGAGAAGAGAAAAAGGGAGAGGAAGGUGCUAUUGUGGAGGUGCAUACCCAACAGUUUGAUAAUGUAGAGGAAGUGAUAGCUUUGUCUCGUGGAAUCUGGGUCGACCUCACAGAGGAGCUGUUAUUUGUUCUGGAUAUUGAACAGUGACAAGGAUUCAGUGGGAGAGAAAGAGGCGAGGAUUUUAAUGCAACUUGUUACACAAGAUGAACCCAAACAUAUUUGACUUUUUAUUUUCAGAAAAGCUUAAUACAUAGUUUUGAAUAUGGAUUGUCCCACAGGAUAAAUGCAUGAAAAAAGUUGGAAAAGAGAAAUUGAAUUACAUCCUAAUUGUAGUGUUUUCUCAGGCAGAUCAAUUUUAGAAAGAGAACAUUGACUUGGAAAACUGAAGAGUAAUUAUUCUAAAACGGUUGUAACAGUUUACUCCUUUUAUGUUUGCAAACUUCCAGGAUUAGUGAGUUGCAUAAAGUCACAUAAUUUAUUGCGUUGGUGCAAAAGUAAUUGUGGUUUUUGCCAUUAACAAAACCGCAAUUACUUUUGCAUCAGCCUAAUAUAAGUGAAUAAAUUAAUAUUAGAACACAGGUCUAAUUAAAAGGUUCUGCUGUGUUGUGUCCUGUGAUAACACAGAAAACAAACAAAUGGAUAAUUACAGAAAAAUUUUGGAUAUAAAAUUAGCAGGUAAUUUUCUCCCUCCUUUCCUUCCAUCUUUCCAUCCUUCUUUGCUUCCUUUGCUUUCUUCUUUUCCUUUGUUUUUUGUUUCUCUCUCUCUCUUUUUUUUUUUUUUUUUUUUUUUUUGCAAUUUGGAGAAGGAAGUACUUUAAAAGAAAAGUUAAAAGGCAGACAUAGAUAGCAUGAAGCCUAAUUGCAAGAUCUUUUUCAAACAUAUUAGUUUUAGGAAAUAGCACCUGAAUUUAAGUCCCUUAAAAUUGUCUAUGUCUUCACGUCCAAGUCUCUAUAUUUGCAGGGCUGUGUACAAUCUAGACUGAACAUGCUUGACCUAAAAACAGAAGUAAUACCUGGGGCAAAGCACGAUGUGCACCACAGUCUUCUCUCUUUAGUGUGUUAAGAUAAAGUUGAUUCCCAGAGUAGCCUGCCAUCACUAACUCUGAGGGAUGGUGGGCUAAUUUUGAUAGAAGGAGCAGAGGUGGUAGUUAGGAGGAAGGUGACUCAUCAUCAUUGUAUCAGCAGGCAUUGAUGACUGGAAAUAUCAGGGGGCACAGCCUGAAAGAGAAUGGCUUAAUUGGAAUUGAUAGUGGGAACUUGGAAAUCAAUACAUAUGCACUGAACAGAAAAUGGUAUGCUAUAAUCUACUAUACACUGUAUGUGAAACCCAAGCUCCAAAUUUUUCGGCCCAUGCAAUGUCCAGUAAAAUUUCUCUUAGUUACAUUAUAAUUGCAAUGUACAUGUAUUUGAGGAAAAAAAAAGUGAAAGAAAAAGUAACUAAAGAAAAGUGGAAAUGCAAAACUUUGUUUUUAUUAAUGUUAAAAUUUAUUUUGAUCAACUUGCUAUUCUUAAAAUUGACCAAUCUUCUUCCCUUCCUUGCCUCUUCCAUGGUUUAUAGGAUUAUUUUUCAGGGCUGAUCAGUUGGUGUUACAUGUGACUACUAUGCUUAAUGCUAUCUGGCUUCUAACUUUAAGCACUGAAAAAAAGUCCUUCGUAUUUCUCAGUGUGUGAUUGAACUGAGAUGACCAUCCUAAGCCUCCUCAUUACAUAAAUCCUUACCUUCUCCAGAAGCAACGAAUGGUGUUGAGAAUAGCAUAUGUUACUACUCAGCCAUAUUCCAUAGCCUUUUCUCCAAGAUAUUUUUCCAAAGUUGCCCCUUUUCUGAAUCCCUUGCAAGCAAACAAACAACAAAACAAUGGGUAAUAAAAUAAUUGUUUAACUUUCAUUUAUAUGCUCUGAGAUUGAUGUGAUUUUGAUAAAUAACUAUAUUAAAAGACAAAUGGGAGUGGUGAUUUUGUGAAAAGCCCAUGCCUCUGCCCAUGGAAUAUGUGGCUUGGCCUGGAGCUCUUAUUUUACUUAUAUAUUUCUAAGCAGAAUUAUUCAAGAAUGUCUCUUAUUACAGGUCUUGAAACUUGGACAGCCAACAGAAAGGAAGCUAAUAAAUAAAUUUGUCAGAACACGAUUCUCAGUUUCACUUAUUUUGAAUUAAAGGUAACCUGGAAAAUGGAUUAGGAAAACAGCCUAUAAUCAGAGGAGUGACCCCAGUGAGACCCUGUCAUUAAAACUUUAGUGUUGAGCCUGCAAACCUCUGUUCCUCUGAUUAGGCAAUUUACUCCAUUUCCACCUUUCUGUCUGCCAAAACAUUUAGUGGCAAAACAUUUUCUAAUUCUCUAGACUCAUAAAAUGUUGUUUUGAAAAAAAGUAAAACAGAAUGGAUUACCUUUUUAAGCUGUCUAUCAUAAUGUAAUCAGAAAACAUGAGGGAUUAAUAGAUAAUAUUGUAAAGAGGCAAAGGCAGCAGAUGUUAUUUAGAUGAGCAGAAGGUCACAGACCUCUGUUGAGGAUUGAAAGCUUGAGGUACGUGCCUUUGUUCCUCAGUGUGUGUGGAUCAGAGUGAUUACUGAUAUCAGUUAGCAACAUGGUGGAGGGGACAAACUGGGGCUGCAUUUUCACUAUGUUUAUUAUUGCUCAAGGUCAAAAAGUGACUGUGUAGUGCCUCAGUUUUUACAUCUUUGUGUUAUCAAUAUUUUUUUCUAUUACCUUACAAGUUUAUUUUGAUGCUGUAAUGAUGAGACAGUGUUUUGAAAAGUUCUAAAUAAAUAAAAGGGUAUUCUCUAACUUUUAAAUUCUGACUUUGAUAUUUUAAAACUAUAACAGAGUUUCAAAACAUAUGGAGAAAAAACCCAAAUAGAACUCAAAAGAGAAAUGGACAAAUCCGUAAUUUCCAUCAUUAUUAGGGAUUUCAACAUUCCUCUUCCAGUAAUUAAUAAAACAAGCAGACAGAAGUUUAGAAAAACUAUGCAAGACUUGAACAUACUGUUAACCAAAUUGGCCCAGUCCUCCAAUAGUGGAAAUAAAAUGAAAUACUAAAAUAGUCAAACAAAAGGAAGACAGGACAAGAGUUGAACAAGGAUAAAGAAUAGGUGUGACAAAUGAUACAAAUAACAAUCUGGUAAAGUGAAAACCAGCCAUAUCAAUAAUAUAGUAAAGGAAAAUAGUCUAAAUAGAACGGAAAUGUUUAAGAUUUGAAGACUGGAUAUAAACCAAGCUUCAAUGUGAUGAUAUAUACAAGACAGAUAUUAUAAACAUAAAGAUAUAAAAAAUUAAAAAUAAAAGUGUGAAAAUCUAUAUGAUACAAACACUAACCAUAAGAAUGCUGGAGUGGCAUAUUAUAUCAGACAAAGAGAGUAUUAAAGUAGAUAUAGAAGAACAUUACAUAUUGAUAAAAGAAAAUGCCAGUUAGGUCAAGUUAUUGAUGGUAUUUAUCA
rnacentral:lncRNA from 10 species